CUAGUGAAAGGUAUCUCAAUUCAGAGGUACCCGAAUUAGAGGUACCCACUUAUGGGUGGGUAAAUUACUGCAAGAGAAGGAAUGCUCUCCGACUGGAAAAAGCCUAACAGACGGCAGAUCAAGGAAGUCACUCGCCAUCUGUGAGGGAGGCAGCGGAGCCCCAGAGGCACUGGGGAGAGGCAGCUGGGCCUCGAGCUUGUGGUUGCAGAUUGGAGCUGGCCAGGGCAGAGAUGCUGUGCUGAGAUGGAAGCGGUGGCAGCUGAAACCUGGAUAAUUAGAGCCGGCCGAACACCUUUUGACAAGGA
rnacentral:lncRNA from 1 species